rnacentral:rRNA from 1 species
GACGAACGCUGGCGGCGUGCCUAAUACAUGCAAGUCGAGCGGACGGAUGGGAGCUUGCUCCCAGACCGUCAGCGGCGGACGGGUGAGUAACACAUGGGCAACCUGCCUGUAAGACUGGGAUAACUCCGGGAAACCGGGGCUAAUACCGGAUAACUCUUUCCCUCACAUGAGGGAAAGCUGAAAGAUGGCAUCUCGCUAUCACUUACAGAUGGGCCCGCGGCGCAUUAGCUAGUUGGUGAGGUAACGGCUCACCAAGGCGACGAUGCGUAGCCGACCUGAGAGGGUGAUCGGCCACACUGGGACUGAGACACGGCCCAGACUCCUACGGGAGGCAGCAGUAGGGAAUCUUCCGCAAUGGACGAAAGUCUGACGGAGCAACGCCGCGUGAGUGAUGAAGGUUUUCGGAUCGUAAAACUCUGUUGUCAGGGAAGAACAAGUACCGGAGUAACUGCCGGUACCUUGACGGUACCUGACCAGAAAGCCACGGCUAACUACGUG